UAAUACGAACUGUGCGAACGUUAUUCGGAAUCACUGGGCUUAAAGGGUGCGUAGGCGGUUCGUUAAGUCAGGUGUGAAAUCCCUCGGCUCAACCGGGGAAUUGCGCUUGAAACUAGCGGGCUGGAGCGAGGUAGGGGUAUGUGGAACUUCCGGUGGAGCGGUGAAAUGUGUAGAUAUCGGAAGGAACGCCGGUGGCGAAAGCGGCAUACUGGGCCUUGUCUGACGCUGAGGCACGAAAGCUAGGGGAGUGAACGGGAUUAGAUACCCCGGUAAUCCUAGCCGUAAACACUGAGCACUGGAGGGGAGGGGCUUCGGCCUUUUCCCUCGCAGCGAAAGCGUUAAGUGCUCCGCCUGGGGAGUAUGGUCGCAAGGCUG
rnacentral:rRNA from 1 species